rnacentral:lncRNA from 10 species
UUUCUGUUGGGAAAAUGCAGAUUUUAUCAUUCUAGACUCUGCAAGUAUCUUCUAUAUAAAUGAUUGGUCUUCUGAAUGAAUUACUGGGAUCUAGAUUUCUACUUCAAUAACUUAACACUAAUUAUGACCAUUUAAAAGAAUCCUGGUGUUACCUGACUGCCACAGUCUCUUCUUUCUACCCCAGAAACCACAUUACACCCUAAGAUCCACUAUGUAUUAGAAUCCCCUAGAAUAAAUUUUACCUGGGCAUUUUAUCUGUUUUGUUCAGUGCUUUAUCCUCAGGACCUAGAAAAGUGCCUAGUAUGUGGUAGGUGUAAACAUACGAAAAUAACAAAUGGGCAAAUUAAUUAAUCAAAUUGAUCCUUGAAAACUUGAUUCUUUUUAGAAUUGGACCUCACAAUUAAUACAUGUUUGGAUUUGGUCAAAUCAUAAGCCACCUUAGGGGUGUAUAAAAUACAUUAGUGAGAGGAGUCUUGGCAUAUUGUUGUGACUAUUCUCUAUAGGCCAAGUUUGGUGGUAAGACAUGUUGCUAUCAGACUGGGUAGUCUGAUUUCAAUGAGGACAAUGUGGUUCCUGGGUGUCACGAGCCAUAUGGAGGCACUAAUUUACCCAAAACAAGAAAUAUAUGGAUCCUAGGAUGAGAAGCAGAGGCAGCAUCAGUAAUAGGAAGAGUUUUCUUGGCAGAAAAUUUUGGUACUGGCUAGUUGAUCCUGAUAUCCCUAGAACUGAUAUACAUGGACAUCCUACUAAAGUUUUACUUAAUUUGUAUAAAUAGAAACCAGGUUUGGUGAAAAGACACUGACUACAAUCACUACAAUUACCAAAUGAAGCUGAGAGUUUAACUGAACCACGGUUGCACAGACACCAUUCUCAACUACUUCAGGAUGAAGCUUUUUUACUUUCCUUUUGUUUCUUUGCUUAGAAGAACAAAGGAUUGGGAAGAACAGAAACAGUAAAGGACAGGAAUGUAUGAAGUCAAAAUGUCUAUCCAAGAUCCUCUUCUUCACAACCUAUAUAUAGGAGAAUAUGACAGCAUUCAUAUAUCCUGAAUAAAUUAGAAAGUCUAUCAGAGAACAAGUGUGAGGGAUACCAACUCUGAGCUGAAUAAGGACACGUUCUCAUCAGGGAAGAUUUGUUUUUGCCUGCGUCUUGGUAAAGUUGCUUUUUACCCUCUCAAUUAUUGGACGGAAAGUCUGUCUUCCCCCUGAGGCCAUUUAAAGGAACACAGAUGACUUCUUUACAUUUUCCUUCCCUUCUUCAAGGCUUAAUGAACUUUAGGGUGAAGUUUAUAAAGCCCAGAACAGAGAGCUUGCUCAAAAACACUGUGAAGUGCCCGAUGACGAUCUAUUUUUUCCUAUUUGUGAGAAUCAGAGAUUUGGAGAGCUCGUCCUUUCGCAUUUAUGUUUCAACACUUAAGUGUGACUUAACAAGAUGUUUAAAGCUGAGACUGGGGUAGAAUAAUUCUUGAGACUUAAGGGAUGUUGAAUUUCACACUCUAUAUAAGGGAGCUUAGCAUACCAAUCUUUGCUUUAGGGGAGAAUCAGGGAGCUAUUCUAGGGUUUGCUAAGUAUAAUAGUUGACACAGCAGAGAAAUCUUUCACUUUUGGCUUCCUGCCAUGCCCUGUGAAUAAAGGAGUAUGCCAGUUACUUAUAGGACUGUUUUUCCCUUGGGAGAUUUAGUUCUAGCUCACCUUAACUCAUUACUGAUUCACGGGCUGCUGUUUUUGGCUAAAUGUGUUAGAGGAGCAAUGUUAGCUGAGAGGCUAUCAAAAUUUGCAACAGGCUCUUCCAUCAUCCCAUCCCUUUGGAACUCUGCUGUCAAAAAAUCCACUCAAGACACUGCCUUUCUUUUUUCUCUUCCAUCCGUCCCCAUGAGUACUUUUUCCAAUUAAGGUCAGCUUGUAAAAGGACUACAUUUAUUAUUCAUGUUUCUAUCAUUUGCACUUUACUAGGCACUCUUUUUAUUAAGCACCAGUCCAUAAAAUGCCUGGAAGUUCAUCCUUUUUUUCUAUUCCCCACUGACAGUUGGCUUUGAUGUAGAGGGGAGAAAUGGAUCUGCUCAACAUUUCUAGCUCAAGUAGAGUCUUAGGCUAGAUGGCAAAAGUAGUUUAGCUGCUAAGACCCUUUGGCUGCAUCAUUAGACCAGCAUGUAAUUAUAUAUUUUAUAGGUAGCCCAGGGUAGACUGAAAUCAUCAUUUCCUAAAACGGACUUAGCAAUUAUCUUGGUAGAUAGGUGUUUGUUUAUUGAGUCUUAUCACUUUAGAAUUAAAGAGCAUGUCAAGAGAAAUACUUUAAAGAUAAUCCCAGAGAAUUUUCUAUUAUUCCCUGAAUAAUAGGAGAACAGAUUUGUUUACUUAAAAGUUGUGCUUAGAGGCCAACAGAUAACGAAGUUGUACAGAUAGCCUUUGGCACUCAUGGCAUGUAACAAAGUGAAAAUUUUUGGUUUAUGGAAACUAAGCCCAAACUACCAUUUUGCACAUCAUUACAGUGAUCCUGAUUUGGACUGUUGCUAGCCCACAUAUAUCCACUAUAAGAGCAUUUUCCUGCUCCACUAAACCCUAGACUAUUGUGAAAUUUUUGUUGAAUUCAUUAGUACCAAUUUAACCUAUUAAUUACUGAUAGAAAAUACAAAAAAAAAAAAAAAAACUAUGGGACCUUUGUGCCCAAGAGUGACUUAGCUAGUUUGUAUGACGAUUUCUCUGUGCUAAUAAGUUGACUGGGGAAGUAUAAAUGACUAAAGGAGUAGGGUUACAAAAUCACAUUAUUGAACACAAAAACAACUUUUUUUUUCAGCAUCACCUUGAUUUAUUUUCCUAGUAUUUUUUUCCUCAGAUGGAAAAAUAAUUUCAUCAAGAAAACAAAUGCUUCUGCCAAAGUGAAAGAAUUUUAUGUCUUA